rnacentral:rRNA from 1 species
AGAGUUUGAUCCUGGCUCAGGACGAACGCUGGCGGCGUGCUUAACACAUGCAAGUCAAGGGGGCCCGCAAGGGCAACCGGCGAACGGGUGCGUAACACGUGAGCAAGCUUCCGAUUUGUGGGGGAUAGCCGGCCCAACGGCCGGGUAAUACCGCAUACGUUCACUGGACGGCAUCGUCUGGUGAGGAAACCUCCGGGGCAAAUCGAGGCGCUCGCGGCCUAUCAGCUAGUUGGUGAGGUAACGGCUCACCAAGGCGACGACGGGUAGCUGGUCUGAGAGGAUGGCCAGCCACAUUGGGACUGCGACACGGCCCAGACUCCUACGGGAGGCAGCAGUGGGGAAUAUUGCGCAAUGGACGAAAGUCUGACGCAGCGACGCCGCGUGUGGGAUGAAGCCUUUCGGGGCGUAAACCACUGUUGCCCGGGACGAACAUCCUCUUUCGAGAGGACUGACGGUACCGGGUGAGGAAGCACCGGCUAACUCUGUGCCAGCAGCCGCGGUAAUACAGAGGGUGCGAGCGUUGUCCGGAAUCACUGGGCGUAAAGGGCGCGUAGGUGGCUUGGUAAGCGUGUGGUGAAAGUCCGGGGCUCAACCCCGGAUCUGCCGUGCGAACUGCCGAGCUUGAGCAUUGUAGAGGCAGGUGGAAUUCCGGGUGUAGCGGUGGAAUGCGUAGAGAUCCGGAAGAACACCAGUGGCGAAGGCGGCCUGCUGGGCAAUUGCUGACACCGAGGCGCGACAGCGUGGGGAGCAAACAGGAUUAGAUACCCUGGUAGUCCUCGCCGUAAACGAUGGGUACUAGGUGUCUGGGGGAGCGACCCCCUGGGUGCCGGCGCUAACGCAUGAAGUACCCCGCCUGGGGAGUACGACCGCAAGGUUGAAACUCAAAGGAAUUGACGG